AGCUGUACUUGCUUUGGCAGCACAAUACUAAAAUUGGAAAGAUACAGAGAAGAUUACCAGGCCCCUGUGCAAGGAUGACACACAAAUUCAUGAAGUAUUUUAUAUUAAA
rfam:Gorilla gorilla gorilla genomic chromosome, chr1, whole genome shotgun sequence